rnacentral:hammerhead_ribozyme from 1 species
GCACUGAUGAAGAGUCCCCACAAUAGGACGAAACGGCCGUCCAGUGA